ACGUAGGAUGCGAGCGUUGUCCGGAUUUACUGGGCGUAAAGGGCGAGUAGGCGGCCCGCUAAGUCUCAUGUGAAAUCUCCCGGCUCAACUGGGAGGGGUCAUGAGAAACUGGCAGGCUUGAGGUCAGCAGAGGAAAGCGGAAUUCCCGGAGUAGCGGUGAUAUGCGUAGAUACCGGGAGGAACACCAGAGGCGAAGGCGGCUUUCUGGGCUGCACCUGACGCUGAGGCGCGAAAGCGUGGGGAGCGAACCGG
rnacentral:rRNA from 1 species